rnacentral:rRNA from 1 species
UACGAAGGGGGCUAGCGUUGUUCGGAAUUACUGGGCGUAAAGCGCGUGUAGGCGGUUGUUCAAGUCAGGUGUGAAAGCCUUGAGCUCAACUCAAGAAAUGCACUUGAUACUGGAUGACUAGAGUGCAAGAGAGGAAGGUGGAAUUCCCGGUGUAGUAGUGAAAUGCGUAGAUAUCGGGAGGAACACCAGUGGCGAAGGCGGCCCUCUGGCUUGCAACUGACGCUGUAGCGCGAAAGCGUGGGGAGCGAACCGG